UUUUUUACAUGAUUUUAAAGUUUGUAAUUUUACAUAACAGAAUACAAAAUUUGCAUGAAAUCGACUGACUAGUGCCUAAGAAAUCGAAUUUUAAAUAUCUGACUUUUUGAAAUUCAUUUAGUUUAGCAUCAAUAAUAGUUUGACAGUUUUGUAGACCUUUAAAAAAAGUACCAAUAUUAGUUUGCCAAAAAUGAUAAUGAAAGUAUUAGCCUCAGUCAUUACUAGUUAUUUUAAUAUUAUUAUGCAUAUAAAUUUGAUCAUAGGUACAAAUUGAAAUUUAAAAAAAUGCGUUAAAAUGCUAAAUUGAUGGAGAAAAUGUACUAUUUAUACAUGAGAACCUUAAAAAAAAUUGGCCUUCUGUAAUAGGUAUUACUUUUAUUAUGUUAAUUGGAGUUGUCAUUUUUUUUAACUACCAAUUCAAUAUACCAAUAUUGGUACUAAAAUACCUACUACAGAUACUAUAGAAACAGAACAAAAUAAGAAAAAAAAUAGACUAAUAAAAAAAAUUUAAAUUAUCUAUUCUUUCAUAAAAAAUUUUGUAUUUUUUAUAAAAAGAAAAAUUUAAUUAAAAAAUUAUUUGUCUUUCUUUUGUAGAAUGGUGUUUUAACUGUUACACUUAAUCAUCAUGGCUCAUACGUUUUGAAUAAACAAUCACCUAAUAAACAGAUUUGGUUAUCCUCUCCUAUUAGUGGACCCAAAAGAUAUGAUUAUAUUGAUGAAAAAUGGAUUUAUAAACGCGAUGGAAUUUCAUUGUGCAGGAUUUUAUCAGAAGAAAUGUCAAAUAUUUUACAAGAAGAAACAAACUUUGAGGAUUGCUUAUAAAUUUUUCUGUUAUGUGUUCAAACUACAACUAAUAAGUGGUUAUUUUUAGGUAUAUCAAUAAAUUUUGUUGAACUGUU